AGCAGCUAUGCUGGCAGUCUUAGCAGAGAGGCCACAGAUGGAAAGAUUCAGGAAGACUUAAUAUCAACCUGUCUCACCUCUAGAUGUCACCCUUUAAAUCAGGCUUGAAGCACACUAUUCAGACUGAAGAGCCCCCUGUUACCAAAUUUCUGUCUCCUACCAAGACUGUGCUGACUCAGAAGCUAACUCAACAUCCUGUCAUUCAACUCCCCAAUUAAUUGAACUCUGACUGAAAAACAGGCAGUUGGCAGUGGAGACACAGAUGAG